rnacentral:rRNA from 1 species
CUUCCGAUCUCAGGACGAACGCUGGCGGCGUGCCUAACACAUGCAAGUCGAACGGAACUGUUUUGAAAGAUUUCUUCGGAAUGAAUUUGAUUUAGUUUAGUGGCGGACGGGUGAGUAACGCGUGAGUAACCUGCCUUCAAGAGGGGGAUAACAUUCUGAAAAGAAUGCUAAUACCGCAUGACAUAUCGGAACCACAUGGUUCUGAUAUCAAAGAUUUUAUCGCUUGAAGAUGGACUCGCGUCCGAUUAGUUAGUUGGUGAGGUAACGGCUCACCAAGACCGCGAUCGGUAGCCGGACUGAGAGGUUGAACGGCCACAUUGGGACUGAGACACGGCCCAGACUCCUACGGGAGGCAGCAGUGGGGGAUAUUGCGCAAUGGGGGCAACCCUGACGCAGCAACGCCGCGUGAAGGAUGAAGGUUUUCGGAUUGUAAACUUCUUUUAUUAAGGACGAAAAAUGACGGUACUUAAUGAAUAAGCUCCGGCUAACUACGUGCCAGCAGCCGCGGUAAUACGUAGGGAGCAAGCGUUGUCCGGAUUUACUGGGUGUAAAGGGUGCGUAGGCGGAUUGGCAAGUCAGAAGUGAAAUCCAUGGGCUUAACCCAUGAACUGCUUUUGAAACUGUUUCCCUUGAGUAUCGGAGAGGCAGGCGGAAUUCCUAGUGUAGCGGUGAAAUGCGUAGAUAUUAGGAGGAACACCAGUGGCGAAGGCGGCCUGCUGGGCUUUAACUGACGCUGAGGCUCGAAAGCGUGGGUAGCAAACAGGAUUAGAUACCCUGGUAGUCCACGCUGUAAACGAUGAUUACUAGGUGUGGGGGGUCUGACCCCUUCCGUGCCGGAGUUAACACAAUAAGUAAUCCACCUGGGGAGUACGGCCGCAAGGCUGAAACUCAAAGGAAUUGACGGGGGCCCGCACAAGCAGUGGAUUAUGUGGUUUAAUUCGAAGCAACGCGAAGAACCUUACCAGGUCUUGACAUCCGAUGCAUAGUGCAGAGAUGCAUGAAGUCCUUCGGGACAUCGAGACAGGUGGUGCAUGGUUGUCGUCAGCUCGUGUCGUGAGAUGUUGGGUUAAGU